ensembl:snRNA U2 U2 spliceosomal RNA
UUUGCUUCUUGGCCUUUUAGCUAAGAUCCAGUGUACAUUUCUUCUUUUCAGUUUAAUGUCUGAUGCAUCCUUCACCUGUGGACAGUAUAUUUAAUGGAUUUUGUGAGGUAGGAGAUGGAACAGGAGCUUGCUUCAUCCACAUGAUGCAUCCACCUGGUAUUACAGUGCUCCAAGGAAUGAUACAUAUCCU